ACAUGAGGAUCACCCAUGUAAUCUCUUUCAAAAAANACAAAAAAAA
rnacentral:misc_RNA from 1 species